AAGGGGAGGCUGUAGAGCAACCCCCCUUUCUUGUCCCAGGGUGUUGAUCCAUCGAUGAGCUUACUUCAGAGGAUACAAAUCAAAUACAUUGAAGAUGGUGAUGAAAUCAUAAAGUACUUUGCUGCAUUUCACCUUCUUGACAACUUCCCCGCUGCAAUCAUUGUUGACGAUUUU